GACGAACGCUGGCGGCGCGCUUAACACAUGCAAGUCGAGCGCAGCGGCGGACGGGUGAGUAACACGUGAGUAACCUGCAUUAGACAUUGGGCUAGCCUCGGUAAACCGGGAUUAAUACCAAAUGGUCUAAGAUGGACUCGCGUCCCAUUAGAUAGUUGGUGAGGUAACGGCCCGACAAGGCGACGAGGGGUAGCCGGAAUGAGAGGGUGACCGGGAACAUUGGAAGUGAGAAACGGUCCAAACUCCACGGGAGGCAGCAGUGGGGAAUAGUGCACAAUGGGGGGAACGAUGAUGCAGUGAGGCCGCAAGAACGAAGAAGUCUUGCGAGUCGUAAAGUUCUUUUAUAUGGGAAGCGGUACCAUAACAAAAAGCCCCGGCUAACUACGUGCCAGCAGCCGCGGUAAUUC
rnacentral:rRNA from 1 species